rnacentral:rRNA from 1 species
ACUCCUACGGGAGGCAGCAGUGGGGAAUUUUGGACAAUGGGCGCAAGCCUGAUCCAGCAAUGCCGCGUGAGUGAAGAAGGCCUUCGGGUUGUAAAGCUCUUUCAGUCGAGAAGAAAAGGCUGCAGUGAAUAACUGUAGUUUAUGACGGUAUCGACAGAAGAAGCACCGGCUAACUACGUGCCAGCAGCCGCGGUAAUACGUAGGGUGCGAGCGUUAAUCGGAAUUACUGGGCGUAAAGGGUGCGCAGGCGGUUUUGUAAGUCAGAUGUGAAAUCCCCGGGCUUAACCUGGGAAUUGCGUUUGAAACUACAAGACUAGAGUGUGGCAGAGGGAGGUGGAAUUCCAUGUGUAGCAGUGAAAUGCGUAGAGAUAUGGAAGAACAUCGAUGGCGAAGGCAGCCUCCUGGGUUAACACUGACGCUCAUGCACGAAAGCGUGGGGAGCAAACAGGAUUAGAUACCCUAGUAGUCCACGCCCUAAACGAUGUCAACUAGUUGUCGGGCCUUACUAGGCUUGGUAACGAAGCUAACGCGUGAAGUUGACCGCCUGGGGAGUACGGUCGCAAGAUUAAAACUCAAAGGAAUUGACGGGGACCCGCACAAGCGGUGGAUUAUGUGGAUUAAUUCGAUGCAACGCGAAAAACCUUACCUACCCUUGACAUGUAGCGAAUUUUCCAGAGAUGGAUUAGUGCCUUCGGGAACGCUAACACAGGUGCUGCAUGGCUGUCGUCAGCUCGUGUCGUGAGAUGUUGGGUUAAGUCCCGCAACGAGCGCAACCCUUGUCAUUAAUUGCCAUCAUUUAGUUGGGCACUUUAAUGGGACUGCCGGUGACAAACCGGAGGAAGGUGGGGAUGACGUCAAGUCCUCAUGGCCCUUAUGGGUAGGGCUUCACACGUAAUACAAUGGCG